AUUAUUUCCAGACCAUGCAAGCUGAGCGAACUUUAUCCAGCCCAAAUGCCAAAAAUAGCAACCGAACACAAGGAGGAUUGUUGAGGAAUGGACAGCAACAGAGGAGCCUUUCAAUACCAAAUGGUUCCCAUGCAUCUCCUCACCAUCAUCAAUACCCCCAUCAAUCGCCAAAACCCAAUGGAAAACCAUAGCACAUGGUCAGUAAUUAUCUCCUUUUCUCCAACCCUUUGCAUCAUUCAAUUCUUUCCCUUUGUUCCCAAUAUAGAUAUAUUUUCUGUGAAAGCAUUUGUUCUUGGACACCAGAAAAAGCAAUGGGAACAUUUCCGCCGUAUGUUGUGUUUAGAAUGAUGCAAAGGGUUGGAGAAAAGGAG
rnacentral:misc_RNA from 1 species